GGAAGGAUCAUUAUUGAAAAUAAACCUGAUGGGUUGUUGCUGGUUCUCUAGGGAGCAUGUGCACACCUUGUCAUCUUUAUAUCUCCACCUGUGCACCUUUUGUAGAUCUUUUCAGGUCUAUGUUGCUUUAUUUACCCCCAAUGUAUGUCAAUAGAAUGUUGUGCCUAUAUAUAAUAUAUACAACUUUCAGCAACGGAUCUCUUGGCUCUCGCAUCGAUGAAGAACGCAGCGAAAUGCGAUAAGUAAUGUGAAUUGCAGAAUUCAGUGAAUCAUCGAAUCUUUGAACGCACCUUGCGCUCCUUGGUAUUCCGAGGAGCAUGCCUGUUUGAGUGUCAUUAAUAUAUAUAUAUCAACCAUUCUCUUGUGGAAUGGUUUGGAUGUGGGAGUUUGCUGGCCUCAUAAACGGGGUUCAGCUCUCCUGAAAUGCAUUACAUCAGAACAACCUGUUCAUUGGUGUGAUAACUAUCUACGCUAUUGAAUGUAAGGGGCAGUUCAGCUUUCCAACCGUCCUUGGACAACUCAUCAUUAAUGUGACCUC
rnacentral:sRNA from 1 species